CACAACAACAAAUCAUAAAACACAACGACAAAUCAUGAAACACAACAACAAAUCAUAAAACACUUCAACAAAUCAUGAAACACAACGACAUUAACUUCUAACGGAAAAGGUAGGGCCUAUCUAGCAGAGGACGGAACCUCCUGAUUGGACAGAAGGACUGCCUGUCUUUUAACAGGAAGAAGAGGUGAAAAACACGGAAAAGCGCCUAUUUUCAAAACAUGAGUACUCCCGAAGAUACUUUCGCUAUUAUAAUGAAUUAUUUUGAUGCAGGGCAUACAUACGACGUGGUAGUUGAUAUGUUGUCAACCAAUCACAACAUCAGGAUGAGUAUACGCACUUUGAAGUCACGUUUGAGAGAAGAAAGGUUGUACAGAAGGAAAAACUAUUCACAACUGGAUGAGGUGAGACCUGCCAUCCUUACAGAGCUGCGUGGACCAGGGCAACUAUUCGGCUAUCGGACUAUGUGGGCUCAAUUUUGGAUGGACCUGUUUGGAGACCUGAGAGUCUCUGGACACUUUAAUGGCAGCCAUGAACAUCAGGACUUAUUGAGAUUCUGCUUCAGUAAUGUUCUGCAAAAAGACCUGGAUGAGAGCACAGACCUCUGGAAUAAGCACAGGAUUAGACUCUCCAAACAUGAAUCAUGUCCUGGGGGAACUCUAUCUCUUACCUCUCAUAUCAACUGACAAUGAAUUGACUAUAUCCAUUCUUACAAAAAUAUAUAAUGUGUAUUAAAGCAUAAAUUGCACCACACAUAUUAUUGGAAAUACAUUUGGAUUUGGAGUCAUGUUUUCCCUUUAUGAUUAAUUAUUGUGUCACUAUGCAGGUUUGGUUCAAAGGACUGGAUACGUUUCCAGAGUCAAGGCAAACUCUUCAUUCAUGCAGUGAUCCAGACAUCCAGGAUUAUCUUCAACAGACUGUUGAGCGAAAUGGAUUACAGCAGCCACAUGAUUGGGAGUCAGCCUCAGAACUAUAUGUCACCUUGAAAGAAAUAGCUGACCUAUAAAUAUGGUCUACUGCAGCCUACUCUUAAAGGCCAGAUGUUAAAGGAAAACAUUCUCAAAUGUGGCUUAGCUGUUUGAGUAUCAUGUUUGGCAAGUGGAGUUCAGUAUAUGCAGUGUCAUACCAGAGUGGAGACAUACAUUAAACUCAAAUGUAACUCCCAAACUAUAUUUGUUUAUUUUCUGAUUCACCAUCGAGUUAACUGUGUGUCAAUUAUAGGUCUGAACAACCAAAGAAACGUGGUUCUUUUCAAGAGGUAUUGUUUGCAAGCACAACAUGUUAUACACUGUUUCAAAUGUGAAACUACAUACAUUUUAGCUGAGUACAAUUUUACUGUUACUUGUAAUGUGACCUGUACUUAACAUUUGUUCUGUGAUUUUUCAUUGAACAAAGUAAUGAACAGAAAUAAUACACAUUUAAAUACUUUGAACUGAGCAUGCACUCUUUUAUGCUUUAUAAACUGCAGGUUUAAGACUGGGCAAAAUCCAGACUUGGCACAGCAUUAAAUGCACCCAAAGCCUGGAGAUUUCUGUAAGCCAAACUCCAUGUUUGUCUUAAAGACACUGUAGGUCUCAAGGAAAGGGAGCUUUAGGGCAUUUGCACAGGUGUUUGACAUAGGGAAUGGCGAAUUUGGUAAGAACUCUGCAUGGUAGUGGUGUUAUUCCAGCAGGUGGAAGUGAUGCGAGGUCUGUUGCAAACAGCAGGACAUCCUCUAGGGACACAGCAGUCGCUUUUUCUGAAAGGGAAAAGUCAACAUUGUUUUAGUAUCUUUAUCAUCUAACAACUAAAUUAUACAUCCUGAGAGGGCCAAGCCAAAGGGUUUCAGCUUAUCGUAUCCAUCUACAUGCCAAAUGUAGUUUGGACCCAUGGAGUGAUAUUUACGCCUCACAAACCUCCGGCGUGUUCUCGCAUCCGUUCCUUGUGGAUUUAGUUGCUUCAGCAGUCUCAUCACUAUGUGUCGUUUAAUACGUAGCUUGUGUUUUUGCUGUACUUGCCACAUAGUCCGAUAGCCAAAUAGUUGCCCUGGUCCACGCAGCUCUGUAAGGAUGGCACGUCUCACCUCAUCCAGUUGUGAAUAGUUUUUCCUUCUGUACAACCUUUCUUCUCUCAAACGUGACUUCAAAGUGCGUAUACUCAUCCUGAUGUUUUGAUUGGUUGACAAAAUAUCAACUACCACGUCGUAUGUAUGCCCUGCAUCAAAAUAAUUCAUUAUAAUAGCGAAAGUAUUUUCGGGAGUACUCAUGUUUUGAAAAUAGGCGCUUUUCCGUGUUUUUCACCUCUUCUUCCUGUUAAAAGACAGGUAGUCCUUCUGUCCAAUCAGGAGGUUCCGUCCUCUGCUAGAUAGGCCCU
ensembl:lncRNA